ensembl:snRNA U1 U1 spliceosomal RNA
UCCCUUACCUGGCGGAGGACAGACCGUGGUCAGGAAGGGGGGUCUCCCUGGACUAGGCUAGUCCACCGCACUUCGGCUGCGCUGACCCCUGCGAUUUCCCCACACGCUGGGCCCUCGUCUGCGGU